AAGAGUUAAUUGUUGCCAGUUUCUUCAUCUCACGGUGGAUUUUUAGUUGAUGCAAUCUAGGAGGUAUUGUUAGUCACAGACACAGUAGGCGCGAGCAGUGGCGCUAGCAUCUGCAUCCCAUGGACUGCAUCUCACGUUAAGAUGAGAGAUUGAUUCUUUGCAUCCUCCAUGCCUAUGAAUACCUACAACUUGUCUGACGUAUUGCCUCACCGGAUUGUAGUUCGAAAUUGGUUACCAAAUAAGCUUUAUUUUAGGAAAUGAAAGUAAGAAAUCAGCACAUAUAACUUUAUAAUGUAUGAACAAUACUUUGCAGGGUUGAUCAAUGUUGCUGAGUGGUAGCAGCUCAGCUGUGCUUAAUGAGCUGAAGCUUUACGAUUUCCAGUCUAAAAAAACGUCUCCUUUUGUAUGCAUUGAAUUUAGUCUGUUUACAGAUGUAAUUCCUUAUGCUGACUUCACAAUGAUGAUUGUAUGCGCUCUGGACAGAAUGAGUCAGCUACUCAUAGCAAGAAGGAGAUGGACUAGCUGCUUCUCUAUGGAUGCUCCUCCAGAUAUCAGAGCUUGGAUCGAUUACAAGAUGUAGUCUACAUGCUAAGAACUGGCAAUCUGUUCCUUUCAGUUUUUAUUUACAAAGAAUUAGUAGUUGCACUUGCGUUUAUGAAACAGACAGUGCAAUUGGCAAUACACUCAUUUAAAGAAAUGACACCUUUUCUGGUGAUUAGUUUGCUAAGAUUGUUUGUCCGUGGUUGUAAGUUAA